rnacentral:rRNA from 1 species
GACGAACGCUGGCGGCGUGCUUAACACAUGCAAGUCGAACGGUGAAGCGCCUUCCUUUUUGGUGGGUGUGGAUGAGUGGCGAACGGGUGAGUAACACGUGAGUAACCUGCCCCCUUCUUCUGGAUAACCGCAUGAAAGUGUGGCUAAUACGGGAUAUUCUGGGUCUGUCGCAUGAUGGGUCUGGGAAAGAUCUUGUUUCGGUGGGGGAUGGGCUCGCGGCCUAUCAGCUUGUUGGUGGGGUGAUGGCCUACCAAGGCGGUGACGGGUAGCCGGCCUGAGAGGGUGGGCGGUCACGCUGGGACUGAGACGCGGCCCAGACUACUACGGGAGGCAGCAGUGGGGAAUGGUGCACAAUGGGAGCAGGGCUGAUGCAGCGACGCCGCGUGAGGGAUGGAGGCCUUCGGGUUGUGAACCUCUUUCGCCAGUGAAGCAGGCCUGCCUCGUUUGUGGGUGGGUUGACGGUAGCUGGAUAAGAAGCGCCGGCUAACUACGUG